rnacentral:rRNA from 1 species
UUAGAGUUUGAUCCCAUGGCUCAGAUUGAACGCUGGCGGCAGGCCUAACACAUGCAAGUCGAGCGGCAGCAGGCCCUCCGGGGUGCUGGCGAGCGGCGGACGGGUGAGUAAUGCAUGGGAACUUACCCAGUAGUGGGGGAUAGCCCGGGGAAACCCGGAUUAAUACCGCAUACGCCCUGAGGGGGAAAGCGGGCUCCGGCUCGCGCUAUUGGAUGGGCCCAUGUCGGAUUAGUUUGUUGGUGAGGUAACGGCUUACCAAGGCGACGAUCCGUAGCUGGUCUGAGAGGAUGAUCAGCCACACCGGGACUGAGACACGGCCCGGACUCCUACGGGAGGCAGCAGUGGGGAAUAUUGGACAAUGGGGGCAACCCUGAUCCAGCCAUGCCGCGUGUGUGAAGAAGGCCUUUGGGUUGUAAAGCACUUUCAGCAGGGAGGAAAAGCUGGUCGCUAAUACCGGCCAGUGUUGACGAUACCUGCAGAAGAAGCACCGCAAC